UACGAAGGGGGCUAGCGUUGCUCGGAAUUACUGGGCGUAAAGCGCACGUAGGCGGCUUUCUAAGUCGGGGGUGAAAUCCUGGAGCUCAACUCCAGAACUGCCUUCGAUACUGGAAAGCUCGAGUCCGGGAGAGGUGAGUGGAACUGCGAGUGUAGAGGCGAAAUUCGUAGAUAUUCGCAAGAACACCAGUGGCGAAGGCGGCUCACUGGCCCGGUACUGACGCUGAGGUGCGAAAGCGUGGGGAGCGAACAGG
rnacentral:rRNA from 1 species